rnacentral:misc_RNA from 1 species
GCGAGUAUAACUCUCUAAAAAACCAUUUGUGAACGAACGAACCCGUUGCUUCGGCGGACGGCUCUGCUGCCGCCGGAAAGAAACGCAAACUCUUGUUAUUAUUGUUUCUCUCGAGUACUUAUUCAAUAAGUAA